rnacentral:misc_RNA from 1 species
UGUUGGAAUAUACUAUUCAACCUACAAAAAUAACGUUAAACAACACUACUUUAUAUUUGAUAUGAAUGGCCACACCUUUUAUGCCAUAAAACAUAUUGUAAGAGAAUACCACUCUUUUUAUUCCUUCUUUCCUUCUUGUACGUUUUUUGCUGUGAGUAGGUCGUGGUGCUGGUGUUGCAGUUGAAAUAACUUAAAAUAUAAAUCAUAAAACUCAAACAUAAACUUGACUAUUUAUUUAUUUAUUAAGAAAGGAAAUAUAAAUUAUAAAUUACAACAGGUUAUGGGCCCAGUCCAUGCCUAAUAAACAAUUAAAUUGUGAAUUAAAGAUUGUGAAAAUAAAUUGUGAAAUAGCAUUUUUUCACAUUCUUGUGAAAUAGCUUUUUUUUUCACAUUCUUGUGAAAUUAUUUCCUUCUCAGAAUUUGAGUGAAAAAUGGACAAGGCUAAACGUAAUAUUAAGCCGUUUGAUGGCGAGAAGUACGCGAUUUGGAAAUUUAGAAUUAGGGCUCUUUUAGCCGAGCAAGAUGUGCUUAAAGUAGUUGAUGGUUUAAUGCCUAACGAGGUAGAUGACUCCUGGAAAAAGGCAGAGCGUUGUGCAAAAAGUACAAUAAUAGAGUACCUAAGCGACUCGUUUUUAAAUUUCGCAACAAGCGACAUUACGGCGCGUCAGAUUCUUGAGAAUUUGGACGCCGUUUAUGAACGAAAAAGUUUGGCGUCGCAACUGGCGCUGCGAAAACGUUUGCUUUCUCUGAAGCUAUCGAGUGAGAUGUCACUAUUAAGCCAUUUUCAUAUUUUUGACGAACUUAUAAGUGAAUUGUUGGCAGCUGGUGCAAAAAUAGAAGAGAUGGAUAAAAUUUCUCAUCUACUGAUCACAUUGCCUUCGUGUUACGAUGGAAUUAUUACAGCGAUAGAGACAUUAUCUGAAGAAAAUUUGACAUUGGCGUUUGUGAAAAAUAGAUUGCUGGAUCAAGAAAUUAAAAUUAAAAAUGACCACAACGAUACAAGCAAGAAAGUUAUGAACGCGAUCGUGCACAACAAUAAUAACACUUAUAAAAAUAAUUUGUUUAAAAAUCGGGUAACUAAACCAAAGAAAAUAUUCAAGGGAAAUUCAAAGUAUAAAGUCAAGUGUCACCACUGUGGCAGAGAAGGCCACAUUAAAAAAGAUUGUUUCCAUUAUAAAAGAAUAUUAAAUAAUAAAAAUAAAGAAAAUGAAAAACAAGUUCAAACUGCAACAUCACACGGCAUUGCGUUUAUGGUAAAAGAAGUGAAUAAUACUUCAGUGAUGGACAACUGCGGGUUUGUCCUUGAUUCUGGUGCUAGUGACCAUCUUAUAAAUGAUGAGUCGCUGUAUACCGACAGUGUGGAGGUUGUGCCUCCACUUAAGAUUGCAGUGGCCAAGCAAGGCGAAUUUAUUUAUGCCACUAAGCGUGGUAUUGUCCGACUACGGAAUGACCAUGAGAUUACACUGGAGGAUGUACUCUUUUGUAAGGAAGCUGCUGGUAAUUUGAUGUCCGUAAAGCGUCUCCAAGAGGCAGGAAUGUCGAUCGAAUUUGACAAAAGCGGUGUAACCAUUUCGAAAAAUGGGUUAAUGGUUGUCAAAAAUUCAGAGAAUCAACUGGCUGACAUAUUUACAAAACCGUUGCCUGCUGCGAGAUUUGUGGAGUUACGAGACAAAUUGGGUUUGCUGCAAGACGACCAAUCGAAUGCUGAAUGAAAUUUUUAUAUAUAUUUUUCAAAUUUAAAUUCCUGUAAACAUAUUUUGUUACAAUGAUCUGAUCGGGUUUUUCUGGGUUUUCCCCGUAUCCUCGCAGCAAAUGCUGGAUCAGUUAACACUUCCCAGAAUGCACACCACCCACAUUUGAUAGUUACUAAUGAAUAUUAUUGUUAUGUUUUUAAUUAUAGACGUUAUUUUUGAGGGGGCGUGUUGGAAUAUACUAUUCAACCUACAAAAAUAACGUUAAACAACACUACUUUAUAUUUGAUAUGAAUGGCCACACCUUUUAUGCCAUAAAACAUAUUGUAAGAGAAUACCACUCUUUUUAUUCCUUCUUUCCUUCUUGUACGUUUUUUGCUGUGAGUAGGUCGUGGUGCUGGUGUUGCAGUUGAAAUAACUUAAAAUAUAAAUCAUAAAACUCAAACAUAAACUUGACUAUUUAUUUAUUAUUAAGAAAGGAAAAUAAAUUAUAAAUUACAACAUUAUCCAAAUUAUUAUUUAA